rnacentral:rRNA from 1 species
UAGGGAAUAUUGCUUAAUGGGCGAAAGCCUGAAGCAGCAACGCCGCGUGUGCGAUGAAGGCCUUCGGGUUGUAAAGCACUUUUUGAGGGGAUGAGGAAGGACAGUACCCUCAGAAUAAGCCUCGGCUAACUACGUGCCAGCAGCCGCGGUAACACGUAGGAGGCGAGCGUUAUCCGGAUUUACUGGGUGUAAAGCGCGUGCAGGCGGUUCAGAAAGUUGGAUGUGAAAGCUCCCGGCUUAACUGGGAGAGGUCGUUCAAUACUUCUGGACUCGAGUAUGGGAGAGGGAGGUGGAAUUCCGGGUGUAGUGGUGAAAUGCGUAGAUAUCCGGAGGAACACCAGUGGCGAAAGCGGCCUCCUGGUCCAUUACUGACGCUCAGACGCGAAAGCUAGGGUAGCAA